rnacentral:rRNA from 1 species
CGUCAGUUCGGUAUACCCCGGGAACUGGGGAUAAUACCGGAUAAAUCACAAAUACUGGAAGGUUUUGUGGUUGAAACUUCCGGGGCCUUUGGAUGGGUCUGCGGCUGAUUAGGUUGUUGCCGGUGUAACGUACCGUCAAGCCUGUAAUCAGUACGGGUUGUGGGAGCAAGAGCCCGGAGAUGGAUUCUGAGACACGUAUCCAGGCCCUACGGGGCGCAGCAGGCGCGAAAACUCUACAAUGCAGGCAACUGCGAUAGGGGAACAUCGAGUGAUACUCAUCUUGGGUAUCUGUCCUCCCGUCUAAAAAACGGGAGUUAGCAAGGGCCGGGCAAGACCGGUGCCAGCCGCCGCGGUAAUACCGGCGGCUCGAGUGGUGGCCGAUAUUAUUGAGUCUAAAGGGUCCGUAGCCGGCUUUGCAAGUCUUUUGGGAAAUCCAGCGGCUUAACCGUUGGUCGUCCGGGAGAUACUACAUUGCUCGGGACUGGGAGAGGUAGGAGGUACUCAGGGGGUAGGAGUGAAAUCCUGUAAUCCUUUGGGGACCACCGGUGGCGAAGGCGUCCUACCAGAACAGGUCCGACGGUGAGGGACGAAAGCUAGGGGCACGAACCGGAUUAGAUACCCGGGUAGUCCUAGCCGUAAACGAUGCUCGCUAGGUGUCACAACAAUCGUGAAUUGUUGUGGUGCCGUAGGGAAGCCGUGAAGCGAGCCACUUGGGAAGUACGACCGCAAGGUUGAAACUUAAAGGAAUUGGCGGGGGAGCAC